rnacentral:rRNA from 1 species
UUACCGGAGUACUAUGAAUAUUAAAAAUUUAAAACUCAAAGAACUUGGCGGUGUUUUAGACUACUCAGGGGAACCUGUCUCAUAAUCGAUAAUCCACGUUGUACCUGACCUUUUUUUGUAUUCAGUUUGUAUACCGUUGUCGUCAGGUAACUUUUUAGAAAUUAGAAGUUAGCAGCAGAAAUAAAAAAUAAUUUAAUACGUCAAAUCAAGGUGCAGCUAAUGAAAAGGGGAGGAUGGGUUACAAUUAUAUAAUUUAUAAUAACGGAUAGGUAUAUGGAGUAUGUAUUAAUUAUAAGGCGGACUUGAAAGUAAAUUAGGUUAUAUAAAUAACUUGAAUGAGGCUCUGAAACGUGU